AUUGAACGCUGGCGGAAUGCUUUACACAUGCAAGUCGAACGGCAGCACGGACUUCGGUCUGGUGGCGAGUGGCGAACGGGUGAGUAAUGUAUCGGAACGUGCCCAGUCGUGGGGGAUAACGUAGUGAAAAUUACGCUAAUACCGCAUACGAUCUAUGGAUGAAAGCGGGGGAUCGCAAGACCUCGCGCGAUUGGAGCGGCCGAUAUCAGAUUAGGUAGUUGGUGGGGUAAAGGCCCACCAAGCCAACGAUCUGUAGCUGGUCUGAGAGGACGACCAGCCACACUGGAACUGAGACACGGUCCUGACUCCUACGGGAGGCAGCAGUGGGGAAUUUUGGACAAUGGGCGAAAGCCUGAUCCAGCCAUUCCGCGUGCAGGAUGAAGGCCCUCGGGUUGUAAACUGCUUUUGUACAGAACGAAAAGGUUUCUACUAGUACUAGGAGCUCAUGACGGUACUGUAAGAAUAAGCACCGGCUAACUACGUGCCAGCAGCCGCAGUAA
rnacentral:rRNA from 1 species